UCUGCAUAAUGCAGAGUCAAACAUCGUGAAAUGCUGUUCCAGUUUAGUGGAGUAUUAUACGACUCCAAAACAUUAUCAGCAGUUCCAGUUAUUUUAUUUCUUAUAGAAUUUAUAAUACCAAAAUAUUUAGCUGUUCCUCUGAUAGGUUCGUACAACUUUAAAAUUCUAUCAACGCUCUUCUUCCAAGAGCUGUAUUCGAUUGGAUUUCCCGAAAAUUCUCUGAGGCAGCGAACUACGUCAGGAACCUUAUCUAGAUCAUCAAUAUUAUGCCUAUAUUCGCUGUUAAUUACUUCAUCUGUACAGUUAAGUUCGUUAUGAUUAGUUUGUCUGCUGUCUUCGGUGAGGCAUACAUUUCUCACUAUUCUUCUAAUCAGAGCUUCUAAUUCUGGUGUUGCGUUUACUUGCUCUAUAAUUGGUGUAUUGGCAGGAGAGGGUACGGAUGGUAUAUUUAUUAUUGGUGGACGAAUAAGGUUGUUUGGGUUAGUCAUUUUGAUUAUUUGUUUGAUUAUAUAUUUUUAUUCUAUUAAUUUUUUGUAGUUUUUUUAGGUUAUAUUCGUAUUUAUUAUAAGAACCGGAGGGUCCCCCCGAAGGUGGUGAAUCGCGGUCUUUUUAGGUAUUUUUAGUUAUAGCUGUAUAAGCCUCUAAAAUGGUUAUUAUUGUUUUAAUAUCGAAUUAUAUCCGAUCUCUGGAGGGUCCCCCCGAAGGUGGUGAAUCGCAGAGGCGUUUUAAGUUAGAAAAUGGUUGAUAUUAUGAUUGUUCUCUGGAGGGUCCCCCCGAAGGUGGUGAAUCGCAGAGACGUUUUAAGUUAGAAAAUUGUUAAUAUUAUGAUUAUUCUCUGGAGGGUCCCCCCGAAGGUGGUGAAUCGCAGAGACGUUUUAAGUUAGAAAAUGGUUAAUAUUAUGAUUGUUCUCUGGAGGGUCCCCCCGAAGGUGGUGAAUCGCAGAGACGUUUUAAGUUAGAAAAUUGUUACUAUUAUGAUUGUUCUCUGGAGGGUCCCCCCGAAGGUGGUGAAUCGCAGAGACGUUUUAAGUUAGAAAAUUGUUACUAUUAUGAUUGUUCUCUGGAGGGUCCCCCCGAAGGUGGUGAAUCGCAGAGACGUUUUAAGAUAGAAAAUUAUUAUAAGGAUUAAAAGUUCCUUUUUAAUGUGGUGUUAUUUUAUAUUGAUUUUCAACAAAAUAUUAUAAUUUUAAUUUAUGAUUGUAUUUUAUUUUAUUAUAAGGAUUAUUUUAAAUUAAAAUUUAAAUUUGCUUUUAUGUUAUAUUGAAUUGAAAUUAAUAUUUCUUAAUAAAUUUAAAUAAGUAGUAGGAAAACAAUUUAUUUUAUUUUUACUAAUAAGUAUUCGUAUAUACAUACAUAUAUAAUAUAUAUUUUGCUGUCUCAAAAAAAGAGAUUUUUUUUGAACUUUUUUUUUUUUUUACUUUUUUUUUGUUUUUUUUUUUUUGUUUAGUAAUAACUAUUUUACCUCAUUUUUCAAUUCAUUAUAUUAAUUUUUUGUGUUCAACUAAAAAUACACUUUUACAUACACUUUUGUGAAAUGAAUAUCUGAUUCAAAUUCUUCUUUUUUUGGUAAAAGAUAAUAUUUUUUGUUUGGAAAACGGUUUUUUCUCGAUUUUUUUUUUUUUUGAAUUUUUACUAAUUUAUAUUAAUUUUUUGUGUUCAACUAGGAAUACCAUACACUUUUUUGAACCACUUAUUCAAAUUUUACAUUUUAGAUAGAAGAUAAUAUUAUUUUUAACACUUUUCACUUACAUAUGUAUUUAAUUGAUUGAAUUAUAUAAUUAAAAAUGGGAAUUAAAAAUACUUAAAAUUAGCAUCUUACACGUGCAUGGCUGGAAGAAGAGUCCCUUUUAGUCCUUUGCGUCGUUACUUGGGUUCCCCCGAUGGCCACUUCCUCGCACGCUUCUCUUCCUCAAGCAUGGGUAAGAGAUCGAGGUUGACGAUUAAUCCGGCUAGGAGGAUAAUUGAUUAAAAUUCCUCUGCAAACUCCUUCAGGCUGUUGUGUGGUUCUCCAAUCCGUUGGGCGCCAGUUAACUUAUUUUGAGUUUAAUUUUUCUUUUUAUUUAAAAUUUCAUUUAUCAGUGUAAACAUUUUGUCACGCACUGUACAAGUUAAGUAUUUAAUUUUACUUUUUAUAUUUUUGGAGUAACAUCCAACUAGCGCAGUGAACAGCCGAAUUAAAAGUGAAACUUAA